rnacentral:lncRNA from 1 species
CGGACAGCUAAUAAACACCUGUGGCUGUAGCUCCAGGAAAACCUAAUGCUUCUGACCUCUGUGGACACCCUCUUCACACAUGAAUACACUACACACACACACACACACACACACACACACACACACACACACACACACACAGAGACACACACAUACACACACACUGUAGCUCCAGCAGAACCUAAUGCUUCUGACCUCUGUGGACACCCUCUUCACACAUGAAUACACUACUCACACACACACACACACACACACACACACACACUCACACACACAGAGACACACACAUACACACACACUAUAGCUCCAGGAAAACCUAAUGCUUCUGACCUCUGUGGACACCCUCUUCACACAUGAAUACACUACACACACACACACACACACACACACACACACACACACACACACAGAGACACACACAUACACACACACUGUAGCUCCAGCAGAACCUAAUGCUUCUGACCUCUAUGGACACCCUCUCACACAUGAAUACACUACUCACACACACACACACACACACACACACUCACACACACUCACACACACACACACACACACUCACACACACUCACACACACACACACACACUCACACACACUCACACACACACACACACACACACACACACACUCACA